GCCUAUGGCCACACCGGACUGAACGCAUCCGAUCCUGUCCGAUCUCGGAAGCUAAGCGGUCCUGGUCCCAACUAGUACCUGGAUGGGAGACCGCCUGGUAAUCCCGGAUGCUGUAGGCU
rnacentral:rRNA from 1 species